AUGUCUGGCCGUACAUUGUGUUUGUAUUUCCAGGCACAUUUCACGAAGCAGAACGCAGUCUUCAGAGAUAUCCACGUGAACGCUGUGAUACGUCUGACCUUCAGUCCGAAAAAGAAAACCCGGACCAGUCUUAAAAGAAAGCACAAACUAAAUCCCCUGUACACAUAUAUGGACUCAGAGGAUGAGCAGCCUACAAAAAAACGGUUUCCCCAGGACCCUCGAGUGAAAAUACCAGCCCUCAUCACUCCGCAGUCUGCCCCCCAGCCCACUGAUAGCAACCAUCAUAAUGCCCCACCCAGCUUCCGGCACCUUUCGCCACUCCGGCACAAACCGACACAGCUUUGCGAUCUCGCCAGCAUGCAGAGUCUGAUGUCUUCCCUAUAGAUGAUUCCAGAGACUCUGUGAGGCCACUAUUACAAGGCAAGUUUGAAAAUCUUGGAAUUUCACAGUUUACAUGGUAUAACAAAUAUAUGUGACAGGCAAAAACUAGUAAACACUUUUAGCAGUUACAAGAACUAACAAAUGAAUAUCCAACAAAAGGGAAUAGAAAUACAUUGUACUGCCAAUACUUUGGUUUAUUCUUUGUAUGACUUGAAAAUCAGGCUUUAGGGAAAACUAAAUGACAUGUUUCUAUCAUCAAUUACAUGAAGUAAACACACAAGCACUUGCAUACACAUUUAAGACAUGAGACACGCUAAUUCCAUCUCAUAAAAUGUGUCUAUAGGUGAGACGCUUUGCGUUGAUUGGUGCUGCUGGACCACACUGGAGGUGCGAGUCCGCCGUGUAAUGGUUUAUGCCAUUACAAAGGAGCUGGCCUCUGUACUCAACUGGGCAGGGAAAAAAAAACCAAGGACCAGACAAAGCAAAAAAGGGCAUUUAAAGAUACAGCGCUGUGCAGAUGCAUAUUUGGUAAGUUUUAACAUUUAUUGUACUUUUAUGAGCCUAAAGUGAACAAUAAAGGGAUCAAUUGAUGUGCUGGGUGCGUUUCACAUUUCCUAUGUCUGUUUUUUGCUAUAUUACUUUGUCUUUCUUAAUAACAAGACUUUCAUGUCCGGUUAAUCUGGAGAUGGAGUCUUUGGUCUUCAGCUUGUUUUGUCCUCGGGUUGUACACUUUGUACAGCCCGAGGACCCCAUGUUUUCUUUUUUUUUUUAAAGGAUACACGGCACACCAUGCUAAGACAUAUCACAUUUUCAGCUUAUAGCUCUUUGGGAAUCAAAUGCGGCAGUUUGCUGAUUUCCGCCUGGUGACUUUAAUGUUUAUCAGCCUAGGAGUUUACAUACUUUCUCCCUGCUGAAGACAAUUAACAAGAGCUUAUUCAUGUGCUCUAAUUCCCUUUUUUUGUCUUUGUUUUUUUGUGUGUGUGUCUAUUUUUGUCCUAGAUGGCCUGGCGCAGCAGGUAGGGGCGAACUCUAUGUCUGAGUUGGUCUUUGCUCAAGCAGUCCAGAAAUGGCUCAGAUAUGCUCCAGAUCGUACGGGUGGCGCGCAGGACGCACAUCAUCCAUCCCCAUCCCGGAGUAAAUAAUAAAAAGUGACAUGAAACAUAGAAAUGUAAAUAGGAAACUUUGUCUUUUAAUAAAGUAUUUUGCAAAUGAUACAUGUCUAUUGACCUUUUUUGUUUUUUUGUUUUUUUUUUCAAUAAAAAGCAACUGUACGAAAGAGGUGGAAAAUCAAUACCAUAGCUCAACAGUGUUUCAAUAUCAGAAUCUGACAUUGUUUCAAUGUCAACAGUGUUAGAAAAUAUAACGUAGAAUCAAUGUCAGGUUUCAACAUUGAUUCAACAUCAAAACCUGACGUUGUUUCAACGUUAAAAAUGGGUGCAAGAGUGAUGUUGGGUCAACGUCACACUUCAACGUUGCUUCAAUGACGUCGCCUGAUAUUGACUCAACAUUGUUUCAAUGUUUCCUUGCUAUCUGGGAAGGGUGCCUAUGCUGAACUAUGUCAGAUAAAAAGGGGAGAGAUGCUUGGUCAAAGUUCUCAAAGACAACUGGGCAGAAAAGAGAAACAGCAGGAGGGACAGGAUUAGAGGGAAAAGACCUGAGAGCCGAAAUCUUUUUUAAAAAUGUGAGAAACCUUGCAGAUGAGGGCACAAUACAAGCAGCACUACAUGGAUUUAUAAGAG
rnacentral:lncRNA from 1 species